CCUACGAGUGGCAGCAGUAGGGAAUCUUUCACAAUGGGCGAAAGCCUGAUGGAGCAACGCCGCGUGCAGGAUGAAGGCCUUCGGGUUGUAAACUGCUUUUAUAAGCGAGAAAUAUGAUGGUAACUUAUGAAUAAGGAUCGGCUAACUACGUGCCAGCAGCCGCGGUCAUACGUAGGAUCCGAGCAUUAUCCGGAGUGACUGGGUGUAAAGAGUUGCGUAGGUGGCAUAAUAAGUAGCUAGUGAAAUCUGGUGGCUCAACCAUUCAGACUAUUAGCUAAACUGUUAAGCUUGAGACCGUUAGGGGUAACUGGAAUUUCGGGUGUAGGAGUGAAAUCCGUAGAUAUUAGAAGGAACACCAAUAGCGUAGGCAGGUUACUGGGACGGUUCUGACACUAAGGCACGAAAGCGUAGGGAGCAAACGGGAUUAGAUACCCGAGUAGUC
rnacentral:rRNA from 1 species